GACGAACGCUGGCGGCGUGCCUAAUACAUGCAAGUAGAACGCUGAAGAGAGGAGCUUGCUCUUCUUGGAUGAGUUGCGAACGGGUGAGUAACGCGUAGGUAACCUGCCUUGUAGCGGGGGAUAACUAUUGGAAACGAUAGCUAAUACCGCAUAACAAUGGAUGACACAUGUCAUUUAUUUGAAAGGGGCAAUUGCUCCACUACAAGAUGGACCUGCGUUGUAUUAGCUAGUAGGUGAGGUAAUGGCUCACCUAGGCGACGAUACAUAGCCGACCUGAGAGGGUGAUCGGCCACACCGGGACUGAGACACGGCCCAGACUCCUACGGGAGGCAGCAGUAGGGAAUCCUCGGCAAUGGGGGCAACCCUGACCGAGCAACGCCGCGUGAGUGAAGAAGGUUUUCGGAUCGUAAAGCUCUGUUGUAAGUCAAGAACGGGUGUGAGAGUGGAAAGUUCACACUGUGACGGUAGCUUACCAGAAAGGGACGGCUAACUACGUGCCAGCAGCCGCGGUAAUACGUAGGUCCCGAGCGUUGUCCGGAUUUAUUGGGCGUAAAGCGAGCGCAGGCGGUUUGAUAAGUCUGAAGUUAAAGGCUGUGGCUCAACCAUAGUUCGCUUUGGAAACUGUCAAACUUGAGUGCAGAAGGGGAGAGUGGAAUUCCAUGUGUAGCGGUGAAAUGCGUAGAUAUAUGGAGGAACACCGGUGGCGAAAGCGGCUCUCUGGUCUGUAACUGACGCUGAGGCUCGAAAGCGUGGGGAGCGAACAGGAUUAGAUACCCUGGUAGUCCACGCCGUAAACGAUGAGUGCUAGGUGUUGGAUCCUUUCCGGGAUUCAGUGCUGCAGCUAACGCAUUAAGCACUCCGCCUGGGGAGUACGACCGCAAGGUUGAAACUCAAAGGAAUUGACGGGGGCCCGCACAAGCGGUGGAGCAUGUGGUUUAAUUCGAAGCAACGCGAAGAACCUUACCAGGUCUUGACAUCCCGAUGCUAUUUCUAGAGAUAGAAAGUUACUUCGGUACAUCGGUGACAGGUGGUGCAUGGUUGUCGUCAGCUCGUGUCGUGAGAUGUUGGGUUAAGUCCCGCAACGAGCGCAACCCCUAUUGUUAGUUGCCAUCAUUCAGUUGGGCACUCUAGCGAGACUGCCGGUAAUAAACCGGAGGAAGGUGGGGAUGACGUCAAAUCAUCAUGCCCCUUAUGACCUGGGCUACACACGUGCUACAAUGGUUGGUACAACGAGUUGCGAGUCGGUGACGGCGAGCUAAUCUCUUAAAGCCAAUCUCAGUUCGGAUUGUAGGCUGCAACUCGCCUACAUGAAGUCGGAAUCGCUAGUAAUCGCGGAUCAGCACGCCGCGGUGAAUACGUUCCCGGGCCU
rnacentral:rRNA from 1 species